GACGAACGCUGGCGGCGCGCUUAACACAUGCAAGUCGAACGGAAAGGCCUGCUUUCCCUUGUGGAUUGCGGGUACUCGAGUGGCGAACGGGUGAGUAACACGUGAGUGAUCUGCCCCCAACUUGGGUAUAAGCCUGGGAAACUGGGUCUAAUUCCCGAUAGGACUGCAGGGUGGUGCCUGUGGUGGAAAACGAUUUUCUAGUGGUUGGGGAUGAGCUCGCGGCCUAUCAGCUUGUUGGUGGGGUAAUGGCCUACCAAGGCGGCGACGGGUAGCCGGCCUGAGAGGGGGGACGGCCACAUUGGGACUGAGAUAAGGCCCAGACUCCUACGGGAGGCAGCAGUGGGGAAGAGUGCACAAUGGGCGGAAGCCUGAUGCAGCGACGGAGCGUGGGGGAUGACGGCCUUCGGGUUGUAAACUCCUUUCGACCGCGAGGAAGCCACCUGGUUGGAAGGGUGGUGACGGUAGUGGUAGAAGAAGCACCGGCUAACUACGUG
rnacentral:rRNA from 1 species